rnacentral:snRNA from 1 species
GUGCUUGCCUUGGCAGCACAUACACUAAAAUUGGAAUGAUACAGAGAAGAUUAGCAUGGCCCCUGUGCAAGGAUGAUACACAAAUUCGUGAAGUGUUUCAUAUUUUU